rnacentral:rRNA from 1 species
GAUGAACGCUAGCGGCAGGCUUAAUACAUGCAAGUUGAGGGGCAGCAUGAUAUACGCGAGUAUAUUGAUGGCGACCGGCGGACGGGUGAGUAAUAGGUAGGAGACCUACCUCAUACGAGGGGGAUAGCAUAGAGAAAUCUGUGGUAAUACCCCAUGAGGUUAUAUGAAUAGAGGCAUAUAAUCAAAGCAUAAGUGAUUAUGCGGUAUGAGAGGGGCCUACUGACCAUUAGCUAGUUGGUGAGGUAAGGGCUCACCAAGGCGAAGAUGGUUAGGGGUUUUGAGAGAGACGACCCCCCACAUUGGAACUGAGAGACGGUCCAGACUCCUACGGGAGGCAGCAGUAGGGAAUAUUGGGCAAUGGGCGAAAGCCUGACCCAGCCAUGCCGCGUGAAGGAAGACGGCCUUAUGGGUUGUAAACUUCUUUACUACGCGAAUAGAGGUUAGUACGAGAUACUAAUAGGAAGGUAGUGUAGUAAAAGCACCGGCUAACUCCGUGCC